GGACGAGCCUCUGGAGAGAUCCGGUCAGUUACGUUUGGCAUCACAGAUGCCUGCGGUAAUCGGCACCGGGCGCCGAAGGCGAAAGCCCCUUUGGGGUGAAACGCUCAGGCAAAAGGACAGAGGAGAGGAU
rnacentral:ncRNA from 2 species